rnacentral:rRNA from 1 species
CGGGGUGAGGAACGCGUGGGCAAUCUGCCCUACAGGUGGGGGGUAGCCCGCGGAAACGCGGGGUAAUUCCGCAUGUGCUCACCGGCCGGUGGGGCGGGUGAGGAAAGGGGCUUUCGGGUCUCGCCUGAGGAGGAGCCUGCGGCCGAUUAGCUGGUUGGUGGGGUCACGGCUCACCAAGGCGAUGAUCGGUAGCUGGUCUGAGAGGACGGCCAGCCACAUGGGGACUGAGACACGGCCCCA